rnacentral:rRNA from 1 species
AGGCCUUUUAGGAGCUUACUCGCUUCGGGUUCCAUCAGAACUCCGAAGUUAAGCGAGUAGCGCGCGAGAGCAAUCCCAUGAUGGGUGACCCACUGGGAAGUUCUCGUGUGAGUUCCC